CAGUAGCCGCGGUAAUACGAAGGGGGCUAGCGAUGCUCGGAAUCACUGGGCGUAAAGGGUGCGUAGGCGGGUCUUUAAGUCAGGGGUGAAAUCCUGGAGCUCAACUCCAGAACUGCCUUUGAUACUGAAGAUCUUGAGUUCGGGAGAGGUGAGUGGAACUGCGUGUGUAGAGGUGAAAUUCGUAGAUAUUCGCAAGAACACCAGUGGCGAAGGCGGCUCACUGGCCCGAUACUGACGCUGAGGCACGAAAGCGUGGGGAGCAAACAGGAUUAGAUACCCGAGUAGUCCCUGUCUCUUAUAC
rnacentral:rRNA from 1 species